rnacentral:pre_miRNA from 1 species
GGAAUAUAAGAACUUGUCUCUUAACUUUUAACUAAAAAAGCUAAGAACCGGCUCUUAAAUAAGAGAUUUAAGAACCGGUUCUUAGUUUUUUUAGUUAAAAGUUAAGAGACGGGUUCUUAUAUUCC